GCCUGGGUGGCUCAGUCGGUUGAGCAUCCGACUUCAGCUCGGGUCAUGAUCUCACGGCUUGUGAGUUCAAGCCCCACAUCGGGCU
rnacentral:tRNA from 1 species